rnacentral:rRNA from 1 species
AAACCAACUGGGAUUACCUUAGUAACGGCGAGUGAAGCGGUAAAAGCUCAAAUUUGAAAUCUGGUACUUUCAGUGCCCGAGUUGUAAUUUGUAGAAUUUGUCUUUGAUUAGGUCCUUGUCUAUGUUCCUUGGAACAGGACGUCAUAGAGGGUGAGAAUCCCGUUUGGCGAGGAUACCUUUUCUCUGUAAGACUUUUUCGAAGAGUCGAGUUGUUUGGGAAUGCAGCUCAAAGUGGGUGUAAAUUCCAUCUAAAGCUAAAUAUUGGCGAGAGACCGAUAGCGAACAAGUACAGUGAUGGAAAGAUGAAAAGAACUUUGAAAAGAGAGUGAAAAAGUACGUGAAAUUGUUGAAAGGGAAGGGCAUUUGAUCAGACAUGGUGUUUUUGCAUGCACUCGCCUCUCGUGGGCUUGGGCCUCUCAAAAAUUUCACUGGGCCAACAUCAAUUCUGGCAGCAGGAUAAAUCAUUAAGAAUGUAGCUACUUCGGUAGUGUUAUAGCUUUUUGGAAUACUGUUAGCCGGGAUU